rnacentral:rRNA from 1 species
AGUGGCGGACGGGUGAGUAACGCGUGGGCAACCUGCCUUACACAGGGGGACAACAGUUGGAAACGACUGCUAAUACCGCAUAAGCGCACGGGGACGCAUGUUCCUGUGUGAAAAACUCCGGUGGUGUAAGAUGGGCCCGCGUUGGAUUAGGUAGUUGGUGGGGUAACGGCCUACCAAGCCGACGAUCCAUAGCCGACCUGAGAGGUUGAACGGCCACAUUGGGACUGAGACACGGCCCAGACUCCUACGGGAGGCAGCAGUGGGGAAUAUUGCACAAUGGGGGAAACCCUGAUGCAGCGACGCCGCGUGGAGGAAGAAGGUCUUCGGAUUGUAAACUCCUGUUGUUGAGGAAGAUAAUGACGGUACUCAACAAGGAAGUGACGGCUAACUACGUGCCAGCAGCCGCGGUAAAACGUAGGUCACAAGCGUUGUCCGGAAUUACUGGGUGUAAAGGGAGCGCAGGCGGGAAGACAAGUUGGAAGUGAAAUCUAUGGGCUCAACCCAUAAACUGCUUUCAAAACUGUUUUUCUUGAGUAGUGCAGAGGCAGGCGGAAUUCCCGGUGUAGCGGUGGAAUGCGUAGAUAUCGGGAGGAACACCAGUGGCGAAGGCGGCCUACUGGGCACCAACUGACGCUGAGGCUCGAAAGUGUGGGUAGCAAACAGGAUUAGAUACCCUGGUAGUCCACACCGUAAACGAUGAUUACUAGGUGUUGGAGGAUUGACCCCUUCAGUGCCGCAGUUAACACAAUAAGUAAUCCACCUGGGGAGUACGACCGCAAGGUUGAAACUCAAAGGAAUUGACGGGGGCCCGCACAAGCAGUGGAGUAUGUGGUUUAAUUCGACGCAACGCGAAGAACCUUACCAAGUCUUGACAUCCCUUGACAGACAUAGAAAUAUGUUUUCUCUUCGGAGCAAGGAGACAGGUGGUGCAUGGUUGUCGUCAGCUCGUGUCGUGAGAUGUUGGGUUAAGUCCCGCAACGAGCGCAACCCUUAUGGUCAGUUACUACGCAAGAGGACUCUGGCCAGACUGCCGUUGACAAAACGGAGGAAGGUGGGGAUGACGUCAAAUCAUCAUGCCCUUUAUGACUUGGGCUACACACGUACUACAAUGGCGUUAAACAAAGAGAAGCAAGACCGCGAGGUGGAGCAAACCUCAGAAAUAACGUCCCAGUUCGGACUGCAGGCUGCAACUCGCCUGCACGAAGUCGGAAUUGCUAGUAAUCGUGGAUCAGCAUGCCACGGUGAAUACGUUCCCGGGCCUUGCACUCACCGCCCGUCA